GUGGGGAAUAUUGGACAAUGGGGGAAACCCUGAUCCAGCGACGCCGCGUGAACGAAGAAGUAUUUCGGUAUGUAAAGUUCUAUCAGCAGGGAAGAUAAUGACGGUACCUGACUAAGAAGCACCGGCUAAAUACGUGCCAGCAGCCGCGGUAAUACGUAUGGUGCAAGCGUUAUCCGGAUUUACUGGGUGUAAAGGGUGCGUAGGUGGAAUGGUAAGUCAGAUGUGAAAACUAUGGGCUCAACCCAUAGCCUGCAUUUGAAACUGCCGAUCUAGAGUGCAGGAGAGGAAAGUGGAAUUCCUAGUGUAGCGGUGAAAUGCGUAGAUAUUAGGAGGAACACCAGUGGCGAAGGCGGCUUUCUGGACUGUAACUGACACUGAGGCACGAAAGCGUGGGGAGCAAACAGG
rnacentral:rRNA from 1 species